rnacentral:rRNA from 1 species
ACUCCUACGGGAGGCAGCAGCAAGGAAUAUUGGGCAAUGGGCGAAAGCCUGACCCAGCGACACCGCGUGAGGGAUUAAGGCCUUCGGGUUGUAAACCUCUUUUCUCGAGGAAGAAGUUCUGACGGUACUCGAGGAAUAAGCCACGGCUAACUACGUGCCAGCAGCCGCGGUAAUACGUAGGUGGCGAACGUUAUCCGGAUUUAUUGGGCGUAAAGAGAGUGUAGGCGGCUUGUUAAGUCGAGUGUUAAAUCUUCUGACUCAAUCAGGAGCUGCAUUCGAUACUGGUAGGCUUGAGGGCAGCAGAGGAAAACGGAAUUCCCAGUGUAGCGGUGAAAUGCGUUGAUAUUGGGAAGAACACCAGAGGCGAAGGCGGUUUUCCAGGCUGUAUCUGACGCUGAGACUCGAAAGCGUGGGGAGCGAAGCGGAUUAGAUACCCGCGUAGUCCACGCCUUAAACGGUGAACAUUAGGUAUGGGAAGUAUCGACCCUUUCUGUGUCGUAGCUAACGCUUUAAAUGUUCCGCCUGGGGAGUACGGUCGCAAGGCUAAAACUCAAAGGAAUUGACGGGGGUCCGCACAAGCAGCGGAGCGUGUGGUUUAAUUCGAUGAUACACGAAGAACCUUACCAGGGUUUGACAUGUCAGAAGUAGGAAACCGAAAGGUAGACGACCUGUAUCCAGUCAGGAACUGUCACAGGUGCUGCAUGGCUGUCGUCAGCUCGUGCCGUGAGGUGUUGGGUUAAGUCCCGCAACGAGCGCAACCCUUGUUCUAUGUUAAUUUCUCAUAGAANACUGCCUUGUACAGCAAGGAGGAAGAANAGGAUGACGUCAAGUCAGCAUGGCCUUUAUGCCCUGNNCUACACACACGCUACAAUGGGUA